AAUAAGUUGAAAAACACAACGAAUCUCGUACAGACCGAUUUCGUCGUGAACUAAGAGUUGUGAACGUACAAGUUCAUUUGAAGGCAUAAUGCUUUUAAAAAUUGUGUUUUGUGCUCUUGUGGGCUGUGCGUUAGUUCAGGGAUCCGAAUCCGUCAGUUCCCGUGAGUAUAACGAUGACGUUAUAGCGCGCAUUCUUGAACGAUUCAAGAAGCCGCAGGGGGGAUUCGAUGUCACAACGGGAGUUCUGGGAAAGCACCAGCCAGAGGACCAGCAGGAGAGCCAGGAGGACCAGGAGGGACUACGCAGCCUGACGAAGGGAAUCAUUGAGAUUUGCCACGGAAAUGAGAUAGUCCAGAAGAAUAAAAUUAAGUUCUAUUCUGGAAUGACGUAGUUUAGCAACAAUCCGCAACAAGCCAAAAUCCGUAAAUCGUCUGCCCAGUCUGAUCGCAUUGGCCUACAGGUAGCCAAAAAAUCAUGGAGUCAGAUCGUUACUAGUACUUUCCAUAAAUGGAAAAAAAAAAUUUUUAUACACCAAAAUCACAAUUUUUGGGCGACUUGAAAUUUUAUGCUUUUAAACAAUUAGAGAUAUCUCGGAGAAUUUUCAUAUUAUUGUAAAUAUUAUGAUAGAUUGUACUUGCCCUUCAUUUGACGAGUAAUUUGAAAAAAAAAAAAUAUGAAUAUCUUGGUUAGAACCGGAGAUAAUGAUGUUUAAGUGUUAUUUUGUUUAUUGUUGUUGUUAUCAACAUUGGGGGGUGGAAAAAAAUAUCAUCUACCUCUCAACACCCCAGGGAAUCACCGUGAAUUUUUUCAGAUCCUUAGGUGCGUUUUAUCUAAUUAAAAAAAAUUGAUUAAAGUUCGUCGAGCGUCGUCAGUCGGAGAAAUGAGACCGAGCGGCGUGGUGGGGGGUCCGAGGCCUCGCGCGCCCGGCCGUUUCUACCGCUUACUUAACAAAUCGAUUACUCCGUUAAUAAUUACCGUACAAUAGUUUAUUUUUUUUUUAACUAUGCUAUUUUUUUCUCAACAAUUCGAAUCUGAAAUUAGAUUUUCAAUAUUCAUGAAUUUUUUUUUUU
rnacentral:misc_RNA from 1 species